rnacentral:rRNA from 1 species
GAUGCAAGCGUUAUCCGGAAUCAUUGGGCGUAAAGCGCCUGUAGGUUGUUUAAUAAGUCCGUUGUUAAAGACUAGGGCUUAACCCUAGAAAAGCGAUGGAAACUACUAGACUUGAGUAUGGCAGGGGUAGAGGGAAUUUCUAGUGUAGCGGUGAAAUGCGUAGAUAUUAGAAAGAACACCGGUGGCGAAAGCGCUCUACUGGACCAUUACUGACACUCAGAGGCGAAAGCUAGGGUAGCAAAAGGGAUUAGAUACCCCUGUAGUCCUAGCCGUAAACGAUGGAUACUAGAUGUUGUAUAUAUUUUACAGUAUCGUAGCUAACGCGUUAAGUAUCCCGCCUGGGGAGUACGCUCGCAAGGGUGAAACUCAAAGGAAUUGACGGGGGCCCGCACAAGCGGUGGAGCAUGUGGUUUAAUUCGAUGCAACGCGAAGAACCUUACCAGGGCUUGACAUACUGCGAAUCUUUUUGAAAGGAAAGAGUGCCUUCGGGAAUGCAGAUACAGGUGGUGCAUGGCUGUCGUCAGCUCGUGUCGUGAGAUGUUGGGUUAAGUCCCGCAACGAGCGCAACCCUUAUUUUUAGUUACCAAUUUACUUGGGUUCUCUAGAAAGACUGCCGGUGACAAACCGGAGGAAGGUGAGGAUGACGUCAAGUCAGCAUGCCCCUUAUGUCCUGGGCUACACACGUGCUACAAUGGUUGGGACAAAGAGUUGCAAGUUUGCAAAAACAAGCUA